rnacentral:sRNA from 1 species
ACCCGUCUCCGCUCCACUCGGAUCCUCCGACCCUGCCGAGCCCGGCUCCGCGGGCACCUUGCUUGCAUGCCUCUUCCUCCUUCCCGUCUUCCUGUCACUCGUUCUGCUGAGCACGUGUCCUGGCCACAGAGGCCUCUGUGCGUGGCGAGGGACGCAGGCGUCUAGACUGGGGCUAGGCGGUGGCGAUUCCUGGUCGGGUGGCUUCCAGUGGUCUUCAGUCUGUCGUGCACCGAUGAGAACUCUCCUUAUUGCUCUGAAGGGCAGACAAUGCAUGGCUGAUCUACUCUGUUACCAA